CAUAACUCACCUGUUUAAAUAUUAUUGAGACUUAAUGUUGGUUUGGUAAUGUAACCAUAGUGUAGCCAUAGACUUAAGUUAGCCAUAGCUGUCGCUGUUUCGGUGUGUUUUUAGACCAUUAAAGUUAAUUGUAAUACAUAGGUGGGCUAGAAAGUUUUGUGCAGCGUUUGGUUUUACUAAAAGAUCCUCUAAGGAGUCAGAUAUCCGCAACCAAUCGACGCUGCAGUAGACCAGCAACUCCUGUGUUCUGCCAUGUAAAAUGACUGUUUUUGUCCGUGGAGUCAGGUGGCUUUGAUAUAACGGCUUCAGUGACACGCAGGAAAAAACUGAUGGCAAGAAGAGAACCCAUCUACCCACGGCGUUACUCGCGCAAACCCCUGGGACCACGUCACUGUGGUGAGGCGCGGGUGAACACCACACAGGAUCAGUAUGUACGGGGCUCUGUGUAGAGCAUGCUGUAUAGGGGAGGGAUGUAUGGUGUUAUGUAAGAGGCGAGAGUGGGUGUGGAGUUCAGCUGGAGCAGCUUACAGCCUGACACUGAGUGUCUCUGAGUGCAAACAAUCCCUUCAGCCCGGCCUUGUGUGCUGCUCACACACACUUAAUGCUGUGCUUAUAGGUCAGUGCAACCUUCUGUCAGCACACAAUGUACACACGCAUAUAGAGUCAAGGUGGUGUUUAAGAUGCUCUGUAUAUGUUUUUUUUUUUUUUUUUACUUUGUA